rnacentral:siRNA from 1 species
UGAUAUUAUUACCUACAACAC